rnacentral:rRNA from 1 species
AGCCUGAUGCAGCCAUGCCGCGUGUGUGAAGAAGGCCUUCGGGUUGUAAAGCACUUCAGUCGUGAGGAAGGUAGUGUAGUUAAUAGCUGCAUUAUUUGACGUUAGCGACAGAAGAAGCACCGGCUAACUCCGUGCCAGCAGCCGCGGUAAUACGGAGGGUGCGAGCGUUAAUCGGAAUUACUGGGCGUAAAGCGCAUGCAGGUGGUUUGUUAAGUCAGAUGUGAAAGCCCGGGGCUCAACCUCGGAAUUGCAUUUGAAACUGGCAGACUAGAGUACUGUAGAGGGGGGUAGAAUUUCAGGUGUAGCGGUGAAAUGCGUAGAGAUCUGAAGGAAUACCGGUGGCGAAGGCGGCCCCCUGGACAGAUACUGACACUCAGAUGCGAAAGCGUGGGGAGCAAACAGGAUUAGAUACCCUGGUAGUCCACGCCGUAAACGAUGUCUACUUGGAGUUGUGGCCUUGAGCCGUGGCUUUCGGAGCUAACGCGUUAAGUAGACCGCCUGGG